UAUAGUCUAUUUUUAUACUCAAUUUUAAUCUCAACCGUACAUUACAUUUUUUGAUCCAUGGCCAUAAUUAAUUCUAUCAUUUUUUAUUAUUAUUACCCAAAUCCUAAACCUAAACUAAUUUUUCCUUUUCAUUUUAGAUUUUUGGGUCAUCUUCUCCAAAGGAGAAGAAAAAGAACCGCCGCACCUCCUCCAUCCCCAGCGAGCUGCUGUCCAGCAGCACGCUGCAACCAUAAUGGACAGCUGCAACAACCAACAACGACCAGCGAUCUCCACCGGAAAAGACCACCAGAUCCAGCAGCUCCUCAACAUCGCCCUUCUCUUCUCCGACGAGCCUGACGGGCAGCAGCUCCAGCAGCCCCCUCACGCUGCUUUUCCUUCGAACAGCAGCUACGAUGAGCUGCUGUCCAGCAGUACGCUCAAUCAACAACAACACAAGCAGCAGCAGCCAUGAUAUGCAGCGACAGCAACAUCAACGGUUGCUUCGAUGCUCCAAUCAGCUGACCGAAAACUCCGGCCAGUAACGCCACCAUGGUUCAAGUCCAAAUCGAUCGGAGACUAUUUGUCAAAGACGGAUCUUAAGAUUCGUCCGGGGCUUGAACUUCAAAGUUCAAGACACGAGUAGUGCGAAAGUUUAAAAUGUCAUUAUUUCGUUUACAUUUUUUGUAUUAUUUAUCCACUUACCUUUUAUUUUAGUUUGUAAUAAUCUUGUAAAUUCUACACUGUAUAAUAAUAUACAUUUUGGGGACUGUCUAAAGGGGGAGGGGAAAUCUACGUGAUGCAUGUUAAUUAAAUCAUAUGUCACGGUUUAAGCUUAAUAUUUUCAGCAUAUUAAUUGAAACUAUACUUACAUGA